AAAAAGGAGGUAACAGUAAGUCAAGAAGUUCACGGGGGAAAAAGGAGGUAACAGUAAGUCAAGAAGAAGAAGAAAAAGAAGAAGAAAAUGUCAGUGAAGAGAUCAACUGUCUUUCCUAAGCCACAUGUAAAAAAACCUCAAAGUAAUUUCAAGUCUAAAACAUGCCUGAACACAUAAGACUGCUAACUAAUAUGAUUGCUAACACUGGAAUUAGUUAUGUCCUGAUGAGACUUCCUAGAAAGAAUGGACUGCCAUGAAUUGUUCUAAUAAGUAUAUACGAAGUCUGAAAGGAUAAAGAAGGCUUGUCUAGAAUUCUUUUUUAUAUGUCUAGUCAUCACAGCAUUCUAUGAAAAUAGCAUUACGUGGGAUGAAGAAAGACUUGAAGAAACUGCAGCAUUACUAGAAGUUGUAGGCGAGAAAAUUUGGAGGAGAUUAUUAAUUUUCUGAGGAUUGUGAAAGUUCUGUCAUAUAUAUGUGUGUGCAUCUAAUACAUACAGGCGCAAAGCUGUACAUUGGAAGUGCAGUGCCCCAGGUCCAACCCCCGGUCAUCAUGGGGAUGAAAAUUAAUUUGCUGUGAAAUUAAAUUGGUAUGGGCAUGGGAGUAUGGACAUUAGGACUCCCUCAUUUUAUAGUUAUGGACUGCUAUGUGCAUUGAUUAAGCCUGAGGACAAUUGUUGUCUAAGGUGCAAUGGUUUUUGGGUUACCUGCUUUGCAUAUGUGGUGAGCCUGUGUCACAAUCAGCCAAGGAGCUGUGCUGAUAUGGGAGUCAUCACUCACCUUAAGCCCUAACCCUUUGCAGUAGCAGAUGAUAGCAGACUGCUUUCCUGGCAUCCUCCACCCCUCCAGCCCAGACUUACUCUACAGUUGCCACCUCCUGGCUUGCAACCUCUCCUGGUACCCUCGCGCCCAUCAGCUGCCCAUGCACAGGCUGAUGUCAUUGUCCUUCUCGCCAAUAUAAAAUUUGACAUGCAGUGCAUGGUCAUGCAGAUUGGUCACAGAUCUGAGAGCUUCCAAAACAGCAGAGAUGGAAAAGGUUCUGGGAAAAACUUAGCUCUGUUGGUUGGGAUUCAUGACUGUACCAGAGAAUGCCACAUUGCCCUGGGCAUGUUUAGGCUCCAUUUGGAAAUUACAUUCCUCACUUCCUUCUAUUCACCUUUGGUCAAAUACAGUCUGUCUCUUAAAUGUUUUAAGCAGGAGAUUUUUUAAAAAUAUAUUUAGAGUGUAUGUAGUCUAAUUUUUCUUUUCACAAUGCAGCAGGAAAAGGGAAGUACCUCCAAUGAGAUUGCAAUGCCAUCCACCUUCUUAAAAUGUUCUAUAUUAAAUUGAAUUAAAUCAAAAAUACCAUGCUUUGCCAAUAAGUUAUUAAAUGUCUGAAAAAGUAUAUGACAUUUUAAGGAAGCUGUUACAGACAAAAUCACACUGUACCUCAUAUUUCAAAGAUCUUUUAAAAAAGACCAAUUGUUCUGUCAGGUUCAUUGUGGAAAUCCAGAGCAACUCUGCCUAUUUCUCUGAGGCUAUUGCUGGGCCCCUCACUGGGGCUGGUUGAGCUGAUUAGAGCCCACAGGAGCCCCCUGUCAAACCCAAAAAGGACUGAAUUUCAGCUGUAGCAUAGUAAUAAAGUUAUUGGGUUGGUCAGGCAAGGACCUAAGGCUUUGUCCCCACAUGAGGACAGAAUUAGCCGGUAAUACAAUAUCCUCAUUAGUGCAUGUUAAUUUUGGUACUGCUAACCAAUACUAGGCCAGGGUAGCUCCAUUGCAAUUAUCUCUAUUUCCCUCCCCUCUGCAGAUGCUGAAAUUAGUUUCCCCAUCUGCCUCCCACUGCUCUCAGUCACAUUUUCUGGAACGUCACUGCAGCGGUUGCUGCUCUUUUCUUGCGCCUCUUUUUUUCUGAGAAACAUCACAUUUCUGGCAAAUUAUUGACAUCAUAGCUGGGUACCCAAGAGAUGCUGGUUCUGUUGGAGAGGACACACGAUAGCUUGAACAAAAAUUCUGAUGUGCACUUGUCUUCGCUAAAGUGCUAGAAAAUGUCUCUCCACAUCUGACCUACUGUAUCUAAACAUCAGUAAACUUGAUUAAAUUUUCUUUCCUUUGACUGAAAAACAGUGUGUAACUGUUUGGAGAUGUUGAUUUUACACAAAGGGGUUUUUCCCUUUUGUCUUAAGGGCUUUGUGCCUUCAGUAGUUUUAAACCGCAAAUUAAAAUGAAGAGCAAGUAUAUGAAAAGAUAACUCACUGGAGGUUAUGUGCACCUCUGAUCACACUCUCCAAAAAAAUAAGGUGAAAUAAUUGCAAAGGCCAGUAAGACAGUAUCACUCUUGAAUGUAUUCUCCCUGUUAAUUCCAUAGGGAGAUGUCACAAAUAGUCAGCAAUAUCUCAUUCUACGCUGCUCAUUCAGUUUCUCCAAACUCACAGAAGUGCUCUACAAAAUGUCCUAGGAAUGCAUCUUAUUAGUCUUAUGUAAGAAAUACAGGGUUUUUUUUUCCACAAAAAUGAGUGCAACAGGAAAAUGGAGUACACUAAAAAUAAUUUUUCAAUUGAAAAUUGAGGUACAAAGUAUAAAAAAAUAUUUCCAGAAUUAUAAAAGUGAGUAUUUGCUUAGAAAUAUUUCUGUAACUAAAUGUCAAAAUAUAAACAUGUAGAAAUUAAAAAUAAAGUCUUUUUUUCAGAGCACUGGAAGCUUUCAGUUCUUUGCUUCUUGAAAUAAUAGAAGAGCAGAUAGAGUUAGCAGACUGUUAUUCUUUACCUGAUCUGAAUAGGCAUGAGAUCCUGCCAUUGAACUUAGAUUUAAUGAGUCAAACAGUGUGGUAAGAUUCAGAAAUAUUGGAUUGCUUCUCAGAUUAAAAUGUGUUGAUUCUUCCUAUUCUUUGGUCAUUUUAAUAUUCUUAAGUAAGCACCUUAAAAUUAAAUAAAAAGCAGGACAGCAGACACUGCUCCAGAGUCAGGUCACUUUGGCAUCACUACACAGCCACUUUCUCUUCCUAGAUAUUUUGUUGAAUAACCGGUCACUCAUCCUCUAGGGUCUUUUGUUUUUUCUUGGUGUUUUUUUUUCCAUUCAGUCACUAUCAGAGUUCAUUGCUGUUGAGCAUUCUAAAGUAAUUUUGAAAUAAACAUGGUUCAAACUAAGCUGCUCUGAAUGAUACCGCAUUCUGAAACAUUAAAAAAAACCAAAGAAAACAACUUCCUUCCACAAUCGUGUGAACGGUCACAAUCUUUUCUUUCUAAUAUUUUAAUUAAUGACUACAGAACAACAAAACAAAAUUUCUUUUACAGAAUUGAAUUUAAAUACCUUUAAAAAUCUCUAAAAUAUUCAAGGAUGGCAAACCUAUGGUACAUGAACCGAAUCAAGGCCAUUAGAAAGACUCCUACACCUCACUGUUCUCUUUUCUCAGUAGCAUUGGAGGAAGACAAACUAUGUCAUAUAGAAAAGAAAUCUGCACACAAUGGUCAGUUUGACAAGGUGUGUAGUGCCACAUCCUGGCUUUAGGUACCUGAGGUAACUGUUUGGCUAUUUUAAUUUCUAAAUAAAAUCCUCCAAAAGUCUGCUUACAUAACAGGUUUGUGUGGAUCAGAAUGCUAUUUUUCAUAAAUAUCUCUCUUGGUGUUGUUCUCAAAUUUAAAUUAGAAGAGAUUAAAACAGAGUAUGUCUAAUUUUCAGGGAAAAACACAAACAAACAAACAAACAAACGCAAAAACUUAGACUGCUCUUUCCAGGGUUUUUAAUGAAAAUUUGUGGAAAACAUUUUCCUUAAAACUUUUCUCAUUGAAAUAGGAACCAAAGUGUUUUCAACACCACCAAGCCUGACAGAGUUCAAGAAGCAUUUGGACAAUGCUCUCAGGCACAUGGUGUGAACCUUGGGGCUGUCCUACGCAGGGCCAGGAUUUGGACUUGAUGAUCCUGAUGAGUCCUUUCCAACUCAGGACACCCUGUGGUUCUAUGAAAUUGUCCACAUGCAUGCCUAUCAGCAAGCUGGAGUCACAUCAGAGGGUUUGCCCUUGUGGGAAAGUAUAGGAAAGUUGAUUUUUUUGGGUUUUUUUUUGGUUGGUUGGUUGGUUUUGGUUUUGUUAUUUGUUUUUUUUUUUUUCCUAAUAUUAAACAUUAUUUUCAAGAUAUAUUAAAAAAAGGUACACUUCUAACAGCAAAUAUUGGGAAAUUAAUGCAUUUUUGUGUUAUGGAAGAAGCAAGUUGGCAAGAGUUAUGCGACUGAGAAAAGGUGAUGCAGCUGGGCCAGCUGAAAGUUUUGCUUCUGGGAAAAGAGACUUCUGAGUUUAUCUUGUUCUUAAUGGAUAAUUUAUCUUAAUGCAAGUUUUUUCAAGUGCUUUCCAACAGACAUUGUCAUUCCUGAAAAUUACAGUCAAGAAAAUUGCUGCUUUAACAAUUCAGCCAAUUUCUGAAGUCUUCUAGUGAUUGAGGUACCUGCGGAUUGACUACUGAUCACUCCAGCUCUUACAGUUUAAUGCAUCUGUGGCCAUAAUGACCCUACAGAGAUAUUGCUCCAGGUCCUCUCGCAGUGUCAGCAUUGAGAGAGAGGUGACUCAGCAACCAAGUCAAAAGACACAAUCCACCGUGCUCUUGAUGGAUGUUUUGCCUUUCAUAGUGUCUAGUGCUGUGCUGGAGAUGAAGCUGUGUUCCUGGGAUAUUUAAGGCAAAGUCAGCUACACUCAAUUUAUCAGAGAGUUCACCCAAAGACUUAAAAUAAUACAGACUGAUAGAGAUUUAGGGGAGACUGCAUGAAAAUAUAUCUGGGAUUUAUAUACUUGCUAAGGAUGCAAAACCAUCUGCCUAGGUCACCUUAGGGUACACCUGGGAAAAGCUUGGUUAACUUCCUAAGCCAGAAAACAUGCCAAAAAAACCCCAAAUUGUUGAAGGCUCUGGAACAUGACUAUUUAAGGAGGUGAUAGCUAGGUAGCAAAGUGGGUGCAAUUUCUUUGGCCCCUCUUCACUCUUUCCACAAGAAAUCUCCUAGUCUCUUUACAGAAAGUUCUGAUAAUAAUGCAGAUAAAAGCCAAUACCAACUCCUUGUGCCUUUCACCUACAGUUUGCAGAAGUGGUGAAGAAAUAAAGGAAUUAAGUUUUACUUAUAUUUAGCAGCUUUUAACAGAGGUGCAAUGAAUCAUCAGCUGCAUUUCAGGAGAGAGUAUCUGAAGUGCAAAUACCAAGGUGCAACUUCUGACACUUCAAAUUUUAAUCAGGGCAGGAGGUGUUAUUUCUUUUAUUAUUAUUCUUCUAAGAUGUGUUGAGAUUAGAGGAAUGCUGCAUAGUAUGGUUGUUUCAGAGCUUUGCCCCAAGGUCUUGCUUCUCAGUUAAAAUCUUUUUAAGUCUCCUUUGCCAUUAACAGGAACUCUAAGUCCAGUAUUAAAACAAUGAAAAAGUCACUAAAAUGUUUCUAGAGGAAUAAUAAAGUUUAACUAGGAAGGUAUGAACAUAUCUUUGUCUAAGGUAGCCUCUUCCAAAGUCUUCAAAAUUCUUGAAAGAAUGAAAACUCUCAUUACCAUCACCAUUUGCCCAAAGCCACCUAACUCAGUAAUUACAAGUAAUGCUCAUUGCAUUUAUAUAGAGCUAACACCAACACUCAGCGUGAUUUCAGUACAAAGUGCAGCAAAGAUUCUCCUUUUCUAAAAGUGCUUGUUGGUUGUAGUGCUGAUUCAGCUUCUCUAAUUCUAUACGUUGAGCACAUACAGUCAGCGCUUAUUUGGGAUAACUUAAUGUUAAAACAGUUACAAGGGAUAGAAAGCAAAAACUGCAGGAUUCCCACCAGGAGUAAUUUAGGGUUUUUUGUGCAGACUCCUAAGGGUAUAAAUUGACACUCAGCUCCAGUUUCUGUAAAAUAGCAUCCAAUGGUCAAUAUGCUGAAAAAAAUGCCAGCAUACUACAUUAGUUUCUGAAAUCUGUACUUGAUGUCAUGUCGUAAGGUAAAUUCAGAAUAGAAUUUGUAGAUCACACUUGUUUUCAGUUAAUUGCACUAAUGACUGCUGACAAUAUGAUAUUAAACAGUAGUAUGAAUGUUACAUAAGUAGCUGUUCGAGGACAUUUGUGAUCUUUUCCUAUGUCUACACAAGACAAACUAGACUAAACACACUGACUUUCUUUUUUUCUUUUCAAAACUUCUGUUUUGAGAAAAUAUCUAUAAAAUAAUUUCAUAGAAUCAUACAAUAUCCUGAAUUGGAAAGGACAACCUAGGAUCAUUGAAAACCAACUCCUGCUCUGCACAGGACACCCCAAGAGUCCUACCAUGUGCCUGAGAGCAUUGUCCAAAUGCUUCUUGAACUCUGUCAGGCUGGCGCUGUGACCACUUCCCUGAGAAGCCUAUUCCAGUGCCCAACCACCCAAGGGUCAGGAACCUUUUUCUAAUAUCCAACCUAAUCCUACCCUGACUCAGGGUUCCUAGUGUUCCUUCGAGUCCUGUCAUGAGUCAAAAAAAGGAAAGAGAUUGGUGUGGGCCCCUCCACUUCUUUUCAUGAAGAACUUGGAGACCCUGAUGAGGUCUCUGCUCUGUCUCCUCUUUCCCAGGCUGAACAGACCAACUGGCCCCACCUGCUCCUUGUAUUGCUCACUCUCUGUAAACUCUUUGAGAGAACAAAAUCCUGUAUUUAACAGAAGUACCUUUUGUGUGUCUGUAAACAACAUGAAGCAUCUGUAUCAUCAUCUACAUGGCAAUAAAAGAAAAGUAACUUUUCAUUCAGGUGUAACAACAUCAACUUUUUCUAUUAUCAUCAGAUAAGUAUUGAAAAGUUUCCCACAGAUGUAGGAUUUCCUAUAUAGGUUUAACUAAUGGAGGAUUACAAUACACAAAAGUCAUUGUAUUAAUGAUGUAAUUGAGCACCUCCCAACUAAAGCAGUGCCCAGAGGUAUUUCUCACUCAUUUCUGCAAAUUUUAUACCAAUGUUGUGACCAUUUCCAUCACAUGGUAACUAUGAGACUCAUCUGGCUACUGUGUUUCAGUACUGUGUGUCCCACAUGAAAGAUGCUGGAAUAACUUCAGUGGUGGUCCAAAAAGAUGAUGAGUGGCUCAGAGCACACAAUAUAGAGAGGUUGAGAGAGGAGUUUGAACAGCCUGGAGAAAACAUAAUUCACUGGACAAAAAGUAUAACAGGGGUGGUCAAGCACUGGAACGGGUCACCUGGAGAGGGUGUGAAGUCUCCUUCCUUGGAGAUAUUCAGCACUGCACUGGACAAGGCUUUGGACAACCUCAUCUAACUUUAACAGAAUGUAAUUUCAGAACUCAAAGUUGUUUCUACUUUGGGUGGGCAUUGCACCAGACAACCUCCAGAGAUCCAAUUCAACCUAAAUUUUUAUACAAUGCUAGGAUUUUUCAGAAAAUAAGAAUUUAAUAUUUCCUCAUAGCCUGAAGGACUAUACUUGGUAAUUUUUUGACUUUUUUAAAAAAGGGAAAUGUUAUAAAAUCAAUUCAUCAGCCUAGGGGAAAAAAAAUCUUUGUCAGUGGAAUUCAAACCCUGAAAAUAUUUCAAACUUUCACACAUUACCCCUUCUUUUCUUUAAAGAUACAUUUCUACAACAGUAUCACUGGGAAUGCUAUUUUCAUAGCACAGAAAAAUAUUCAUAAAACCCAAAAAUUUUUAUGAUAAAAUAAUUACAGAGGAAAAAAUGAAAGUCUCUUCACUUUAGGUGUUUUUCUGAGUCACUGGAAAUACUGGUAUUCAAAUUUUUCAACAGUCCUGCCAAAAUGAGGAAACAAUGAAAGAUUAUUAUUUGUAUAAAUUAUAUCUUGCUAGGCUUAAUAUAAAAUGUAAACCCAAGAAAAGGACUCGAGCAGAAAGAGAUGCUUUUAUGAAUUAAGUUUUACAGAUUGUUAUAACAGUCAGUGAACUCAAUUUCUGAACACAAGAGCAAAUUAAUGAAAAUGUAGGUCUUGCACCAUUGCUUUUCAGAGAAGCCAAGACCUCCUCAGAGAAACAGUGACAAGUCCUAUAUUUGUAAAGCAGAUGAAGCACUUCCUUUAACUCCCAGAUGUCCUGAAUCCAGAUUUCUAUCCAUGAACUUGUGUAGAAGGAAGAGUGUUAUCAUGACCUACAGAAGCUCUUUUCGUUUGUUGGCCAGUGCCCAUUGUAUGCUGAAGGCUGUUCAGCACAGCCUUUAGGUGUUGGGGUCUUUCAGACAUAGAUGGGGACUUGUACUACACCAGUUCUGAUGGGCGGUACAGAGCCUGGCAUGCCAGGCAGCAGUUGCUGACUCCUGGGAAAGAGUCAGCUGCAAGCAGAAAAUAUCAGCAGCUGCAAAUAGAAAAUGAAACUACUGACGGGAAAGAAAAAGAGAAGAGCCUUAAUGCAAUAUCCACGGAGCUGCAAUCUAAGGUUACAAAGGCUACCCUCCUUCGUGCAAGCAACAUUUUAAUGUACACCUGAUGGUGGAAGAAAACCAAAAGCCGUCUGAACCCCUGGACACUGAGCUUGGCGUGACAUUAACGAUGUGACAUUUAUGGAGCACCUCCAGAAACAUCGGCCAGAUGAGUGCACAGUGCAAUAUAGGAAUGAUCUUGGGAAAAAGCCCAAGCUGCAGGGAGAAGAAGAGGAUGAUAGCAGUCCUGGCAUCAUCAGGACUCCCUCCAUGAUUUCCCAACACUGGACAAAUCCAUGUCUGAGGUGGUGACAUUUAGCUCUGCCUGCCACAAAGCUCUUAUUGAGUUUCCAUGCAUUCAGUCUGCUGUCAGUGCAACAUCUGGAGCUCUGCCAUGUGGGAAGGAGCCCAUUGCAGUGGGAAAAUAAUUUCCAUAUCUCCAGAAGCCAGCAUUUCCCAUGCCACAGGGAAGUACAUUAGCCAUAUCUGUUCCAUUCAUUAUUCUAAAUAAUGCAGAAAUGAAAGGAGCUUAAUACCCAGAAUCCCUUUUUUGCAAUUACUGCCAUUUUAAUUGCCCAGUAUAAGCCAUUUUCUCUAGGUUGCUGCGGCCAAAGAAUAUGAAAAAAUAAUAUGUAAAGUAAAUAUUUCUGUUUAAUAUGUGUUUAAAUUAGAAAAAAAUCCUCAUCUAAAAUAGUGUAACAAGUCAGUAAUGGCAAAAACAGUGACGAAAAGAAAACAGCAUUUACUGAUGUUUUGUUUCAUUGUCUUUUCCUGCAGCCAUUAUGAAUAUAAAUCCUCCUUUAAAAGGAAUAAAAAAAUCUUAAAUCAUCAUCUAUUUCCAUUAGCUGGGGAAAUCAGAAAAAAAAUUAAAUUGCUAUGGAAUAAAAGGGUCCAGAUUCAAAGCAGAAUAUUAAGGAAUAGGGUAAAGAUGAACUCUGAGUUUUGUGUUUUAAUAUAUUCACUGUAAUUUAGGAAAAAAAAAAACUUUAUUUGAAAUGUUGUAAAUCAAAUGCA